rnacentral:rRNA from 1 species
GAUGAACGCUGGCGGCGUGCUUAACACAUGCAAGUCGAACGAUGAAGCCCAGCUUGCUGGGCGGAUUAGUGGCGAACGGGUGAGUAACACGUGAGUAACCUGCCCUUGACUCUGGGAUAAGCCCGGGAAACUGGGUCUAAUACCGGAUAGGAGCGCCUGUCGCAUGACGGGUGCUGGAAAGAUCUUUCGGUCAUGGAUGGACUCGCGGCCUAUCAGCUUGUUGGUGAGGUAACGGCUCACCAAGGCGACGACGGGUAGCCGGCCUGAGAGGGUGACCGGCCACACUGGGACUGAGACACGGCCCAGACCCCUACGGGAGGCAGCAGUGGGGAAUAUUGCACAGUGGGCGAAAGCCUGAUGCAGCGACGCCGCGUGAGGGAUGACGGCCUUCGGGUUGUAAACCUCUUUCAGCAGGGAAGAAGCGAAAGUGACGGUACCUGCAGAAGAAGCACCGGCUAACUACGUG